rnacentral:rRNA from 1 species
UGGAAGAACUCUCUUUAAGGAACUCUGCAAAAUAGCACCGUAUCUUCGGUAUAAGGUGUGGUUCGCUUCGUAUUAGGAUUUACUCCGAAAGCGAAGAAACUUACAACAAAGAGUCCCUCCCGACUGUUUACCAAAAACACAGCACUCUGCUAACUCGUAAGAGGAUGUAUAGGGUGUGACGCCUGCCCGGUGCUCGAAGGUUAAUUGAUGGGGUUAGCAUUAGCGAAGCUCUUGAUCGAAGCCCGAGUAAACGGCGGCCGUAACUAUAACGGUCCUAAGGUAGCGAAAUUCCUUGUCGGUUAAAUACCGACCUGCAUGAAUGGCGUAACGAGAUGGGAGCUGUCUCAAAGAGGGAUCCAGUGAAAUUGUAGUGGAGGUGAAAAUUCCUCCUACCCGCGGCAAGACGGAAAGACCCCGUGGACCUUUACUACAGCUUGACACUGCUAUUUGGAUAAGAAUGUGCAGGAUAGGUGGGAGGCUUUGAGUAUAUGACGCCAGUUGUAUAUGAGCCAUUGUUGAGAUACCACUCUUUCUUAUUUGGGUAGCUAACCAGCUUGAGUUAUCCUCAAGUGGGACAAUGUCUGGUGGGUAGUUUGACUGGGGCGGUCGCCUCCCAAAUAAUAACGGAGGCUUACAAAGGUUGGCUCAGAACGGUUGGAAAUCGUUCGUAGAGUAUAAAGGUAUAAGCCAGCUUAACUGCAAGACAUACAAGUCAAGCAGAGACGAAAGUCGGUCUUAGUGAUCCGGUGGUUCUGUGUGGAAGGGCCAUCGCUCAAAGGAUAAAAGGUACCCCGGGGAUAACAGGCUGAUCUCCCCCAAGAGCUCACAUCGACGGGGAGGUUUGGCACCUCGAUGUCGGCUCAUCGCAUCCUGGGGCUGGAGCAGGUCCCAAGGGUAUGGCUGUUCGCCAUUUAAAGCGGUACGCGAGCUGGGUUCAGAACGUCGUGAGACAGUUCGGUCCCUAUCUGCCGUGGGCGUAAGAAGAUUGAAGAGAUUUGACCCUAGUACGAGAGGACCGGGUUGAACAAACCACUGGUGUAGCUGUUGUUCUGCCAAGAGCAUCGCAGCGUAGCUAAGUUUGGAAAGGAUAAACGCUGAAAGCAUCUAAGCGUGAAGCCAACUCUAAGAUGAAUCUUCUCUAAGCUCUCUAGAAGACUACUAGUUUGAUAGGCUGGGUGUGUAAUGGAUGAAAGUCCUUUAGCUGACCAGUACUAAUAGAGCGUUUGGCUUAUCUUUAAUAAAGCAU